UGGCUCAGAGGUUGAGAGCAUGGACUGCUCUUCCAGAGGUCCUGGGUUCAAUUCCCAG
rnacentral:tRNA from 1 species